CCUACGGGAGGCAGCAGUGAGGAAUUUUGCGCAAUAGGGGAAACCCUGACGCAGCAACGCCGCGUGAGUGAAGAAGGCCCUCGGGUCGUAAAGCUCUGUCAAGUGGGAAAAAAGCUUGCUGGUUAAUAGCCAGUAAGACUGGAUGGUACCAUUGAAGGAAGCACCGGCUAACUCCGUGCCAGCAGCCGCGGUAAU
rnacentral:rRNA from 1 species